GCCCCGCGCCUCCGCCCCGGGCAGCGCGCAUUCCCCUCUUCCAGAGGGGCCUCUUUAACGGCUCCCCAUGAAAUAAUCAUUCAUUAUGUCACCAGGAGGGAAGAAAGGGAGUAUUUUGUGAAGCUGUCCCAUUCAAAGCCACCCCCAGAGGCCCGGAGGAGACCACAAAGCUGCGAACACAGCCGGGACCUGCCCACUGACACACUGAAGAGUCAACACGAUUCAGGAAAGCACUUUCAAAGAGUGUUUUAUCUUGGACAGAUAAUAUUCCGUUUUGUUUCUGAGAGGCAAUGACAAUCUCUAGUUCGAUUGUAAAACUAUUUCCUUCAAAUAUACAUUUUUAUCUA
rnacentral:lncRNA from 1 species